UUUGGGCUCGUGAUUGUGUGCCCAGCCAGACUGCGGCAUUUGUGCCCAGCCAGACUGUGGCAUUUGGUGGCCCGUACGGGGAACUUCUGAAGCUUAGAGGUAAGUGAAAUUUCUCACCCUUGAGGAAGAGAGAAAGAAUGGGUGACCAAUUCAAAAAACAAUGUGUUCUCAUUUUAAUUUAUUUUGUUUUUAUUUCAAGUUGCCUGUUCCUAGAACUUUCUCAGGCAAACUGGGGAAAAUGGUUGACUCAAGGGGAACUCAGGCAGCAGGAUAUGCCCUAUUCCCAGCAGGAAUAAUCUUAAACCUUAAACCUGGAACCUAAACCGGGAACGCCCUAAACACGAUUAUCUUAAAACCGGGAACACCCUAAUCAAUGCCACAGUCUGGCUGGGCACAAAUGCCGCAGUCUGGCUGGGCACACAAUCACGAGCCACCACACAGCUUGUAGAUUCAAACAGCAACUCUUUAUUCCCGAACUCACACCAGCCGUCUACAAUCACAUUCUGGGGAAAUCCACGUUCUCUGCCCAAAUCCACUUCCACUGGGCUUCUAUCUCCAAAAUAUAUUGUCUGAAUCCCGUGAGAACUCAAGGGGAACUCAGGCAGCAGGAUACGCCCUAUUCCCAGCAGGAAUAAUCUUAAACCUUAAACCUGGAACCUAAACCGGGAACGCCCUAAACACGAUUAUCUUAAAACCGGGAACACCCUAAUCUGCCUUGGUCCUUGAGCAAGGUCACUUACAUUCAAUGUCACUGCAACAUGUCAGCAACAUGGGGUACGCUGGCAAGGAAAUUGUCAUACCUACUUGGCUAAUGGCUCCCAGCAAUUCUAUACACUAGUUUUUUUUUUCUGUGAUUUUAUUCUGGUAGUACCGGUGAACCCGAACUGUGUGACAGAAGCAAUCUGGUUGAAAAUUGUGCUGAAAAGAAGUCCGCUGAAUCCUAGAAGACAUUUCCUUGUGAAGCUGGCUUCCAUCCUAAAGACUGUGUAAGAGUGUGAGAUGUUAACCUUCAUAGUCAUUGGAAAGUAAUGUUUUUGGUUUCAUCUUUGACUUAAUUACAUUAAUUUCAAAUAAAAAAGAACCUACAAUAAAAUUUAUUGUGCUUAA